rnacentral:rRNA from 1 species
AGAUUGAACGCUGGCGGCAUGCCUUACACAUGCAAGUCGAACGGCAGCACGGGAGCAAUCCUGGUGGCGAGUGGCGAACGGGUGAGUAAUAUAUCGGAACGUGCCCAGUCGUGGGGGAUAACGCAGUGAAGCUGUGCUAAUACCGCAUACGAUCUAU